rnacentral:rRNA from 1 species
AUUUUUUGGAGAGUUUGAUCCUGGCUCAGGACGAACGCUGGCGGCGUGCUUAACACAUGCAAGUCGAGCGGAAAGGCCCUUCGGGGUACUCGAGCGGCGAACGGGUGAGUAACACGUGAGCAACCUGCCCCUGACUCUGGGAUAAGCCCGGGAAACUGGGUCUAAUACCGGAUACGACCGCC